rnacentral:rRNA from 1 species
UACGUAGGGCGCAAGCGUUAUCCGGAAUUAUUGGGCGUAAAGAGCUCGUAGGCGGUUUGUCGCGUCUGCCGUGAAAGUCCGGGGCUCAACUCCGGAUCUGCGGUGGGUACGGGCAGACUAGAGUGCAGUAGGGGGAGACUGGAAUUCCUGGUGUAGCGGUGAAAUGCGCAGAUAUCAGGAGGAACACCGAUGGCGAAGGCAGGUCACUGGGCCGCAACUGACGCUGAGGAGCGAAAGCAUGGGGAGCGAACAGG